UUGCUAAACCAAAUCACACGGCGUCUUCACCGGCGAUUAGAUCUGGAGCUCUCGUCCCUGGUUCAGAUGUCGGAUGAUGAAGACGAUGGGUGAUCGUGAUGGUGACACCCAGAGCUAGAAGGCCACGAGGAGUUCAAUAUGAGAUGUGUGGGACUUGAUAAAGCUUGGAGAUUA